rnacentral:rRNA from 1 species
AAGAUGGCGACCGGCGCACGGGUGAGUAACACGUAUCCAACCUGCCGAUAACUCUGGAAUAGCCUUUCGAAAGAAAGAUUAAUAUCCGAUAGCAUAUAUUUCCCGCAUGGGUUUUAUAUUAAAGAAAUUCGGUAUGAGAUGGGGAUGCGUUCCAUUAGUUUGUUGGGGGGGUAACGGCCCACCAAGACUACGAUGGAUAGGGGUUCUGAGAGGAAGGUCCCCCACAUUGGAACUGAGACACGGUCCAAACUCCUACGGGAGGCAGCAUG